CAUACUUAUUUUUAUUUAUUUUUUUAAAAAAUGGAAGUAGAGAAAAACAGACUCAAGAAAAAUGUAAUCAAAAGUUCUAAGUACCACUGCUGCUGGGUAGGCACUUCGUUAUUUUAAUUUUCUUUCUUUGAUUUUCAUGAUUUUUCUAAAAUAGAUGGAAACAACUUUGAAUCAGAAAAGAUGAAUGAAAAAGACUAUUUUAAUCUAAUUCUUUUCAUGGCAAUUCUUACAUUUGCCAGAAAAUUAUUCUUGAUGACAUGAGAAGAUGAUUCAAAAUCAUCAACCAUCUUCAGAAGGCCUAACUCUGUGAGAAUCUGACGUACUUCACCAUGGCGAGAACAGUGAAUAACAGUGGCCUCAUUCUGCCAUGAUGACGAAUGGGUGAAAAGGCCUACCCGACAUGCCCUGGUCUACUGUUUAUACAGUGGUUAAACUAGGACCCAAUACGAGAACAGCUACGCACAUUAGUUAAGGAUUGUCCUUAGAGAGAACAGCAAAGAACUUUGGAGAAAAGAUGAACAUUAAAUAAUCUGAGUUCAUGCUGUCAGACGAGCGAGUUCACGUUCCGUUUAGACAGGUACAUGAGCAACAUCAGACAGCACACAGUAAUUUGGAACAGCUGUUGGCAGGCUUUCAAAUAUGUUAGUGUAAUUUUUUUUUUGAUUAAUCCUGUUAAAGUUUUCCAGGGAGUACACAGUCGUGAAAUUACACGAUCACUGGUUUGGUUGCACACUAUAUUUCUUGAGAUCUAUGAACAUUUACUUCUAGGGCAUAAAAGAUGAUGUUUAUUUUAGUAUUUGGAAAGGUACGUUAGCCAUAAUGGGCCAAUAUGCUGGCUCUAUCCAAUGGCUUGGAAGAUCUGCAACUCUGGCCCUCCAGAGAGGAGGCUUCAUCUUGCCUUCCUACCAAGGGCCACUCUGAAGGACUUUCAUCAUUCCGAGAAGACAGGCAUGGUGCUGGGCGAGUAAGUCACUUGUUUGCAGAAGGUGAGAUCAGAUGAGGCACAGUAGAGCCCUAUCUUCAACUGAGAGAACACAAUUUACUAUCUGUAAGUAGCCUGAGAAAUGCCUCUUCCUGACAAUGUCCGUGGCCAGUGAGAAUCCAUCUGUAACGUGUGGUCACAUGCUCUGCUGCUAAAACUUCAUGCUUUGCACUCUGGACCAUCACGCACACUGUCCUUCAUAAUAUUGUCUACAUAAUUUUUAUUCAAAGUGCUUGGAACUUGGCAACCAUCCCAAUACUAAAAGGCUACACGCUUGGCUGAGACUCCAGUUGCCUGAUGCCAGGCUGAGCCCAGAGGAAGCACAGUUCUGAAGACCCAUGGAGGACCUGCUCUGGCUGUUACUACCAGGUUGCUGAAACCAAACUGAUGCUCUGCUAGUGGCUCGGUGUUGGUUCAUGCAGUCGCUCACUCAAGUCACCACCGCCCGUGCUAUCUUGUGUGUGUGUGUGUUUCACCUCCAACUAGUACUGUCACGCACCAGAUACUGGAUAACGCUGACAAAAUGCUGACAAAAGUAAGCUAGGCACUGUAGAUGGUAACUCGCACUUUACCUGCUCAGACGGGAUAGAAAGUGGAGCAGUGACAAUGCAGAAGGCCAAGCACACCUCCCAGACAAGGAGAGUUGGAGAGGAGAACCUGCUCGCUUCCUCACUGGGGGCUUUAAGACCUGUUGACUGCAUACCUCUGCUAAGUACUAAGUUCCAGGAAUAUGAAAGAACAAGACAUCGCCACACUCUAUGAGCCUGUGUCCUGGAAGGAGGGCCAGAUAUAAGUGAGUAAGGAAGAUACAGCUUGUUACGAUGGCGAUGAUGCUUUAGCAGAAUGUAAACUUGAGAGUGUGGGACUGGGUUGCCGUGGUGAGCAUGGCUAGCUCGCAUCUCUCUAGCCAGGUGACAUGAGGACAGAAGGAAGGAGUGCCAGCCCUUCAGACCCGAGGGAGGGACCCGGAGGAAGGGAGCACCAUAUAAAAAUCUUGGGGAGGAGUGUGCUUGGCUCACUGCAGUAGAGGAAGAUGCCACAGUAGGAAGAAGUUGUGGGGUGAGGAGCCGGGGUACACCGUGCUUUACAGUCAGUGUCAAUACCAGGCUUCUGGACAUCUACUUAAGACAGCUGAGAAAGAAGGCAAAGUCCAUGCAAAGCUAUCCAGUGACCAUGCAGAGUUGUCAAGUGACCAUGCCAAACUGUCAAUGACCAGGCAUAGCUGUCAAGUGACCAUGCACAGCUAUCAUGUGACCAGACACAGGACAAGUCUUGACACUAUGCUCACUGCCCUGGAACUGCACACUACGUGCCACCCCUUCCCAAUGCCAGAAAAAUUGUCUUGCAUAUCCUUUUUCAAUUUUUAAUAUGAGGGGACCAUAUAUAAUGCUUUUCAUUUUUGUUUAAAUUAAGCCUACUUUUCACUUUUAAAACCAAAGCUGUUUCUGACCGAUGAGAACUUUUGAUUCACAGAACACCAGGAAGAAUACUCAAAAGGAUAAUUAAUCCUCAAAAACAUAUCACUCCCUUCUUCCUGGUGAGGCUUCCAAGGACUAAACUGAUUCCAAAAUUCCUCACUGAGUCACUUAAUGAAGAUCAGGAAUACUUCAAAAAAAAAAAAAAAAAACCAGGAAGAACAAGAUCCAGGAGUCAAAUGGUUAAAUUCAACUUAUCAUCCAGCCCAAAUCGAUGAGGUACCACAUAGAGAGCUAAAGGAAGGGCAAGACACUGUUCUUCCAGAACGAAAUGGGAGGCAGAGAGUGUAAUUCUCAUUAUACGUCUGGAGUUGACUGAACACAGCUGCAGCCACCGUCCUAAUUCUUUGUCUGGCAGUCUUCCAGGUCACUGUCAUUGGUGUCACUGGUGACACUGGGUCUAUGGGUUACAGUGGCUUGUAGGUGAGGUGUGUUGACUUGGGUUUACCUGUGUUUCUGGACUGGCACUUGCCCCCAGCAGUUUUUUGGUUUUUGGUUUUUGUGGUUUUGGUUCCUUAUAUUUUGAUCAAGGCCACUUUUCUUCUUUAAGUGAUGCAGGAAUCCAGGAGGGCUGGGCAGCAGAGAGGAACAAAAUUCUACAUUUCUGCCUUGUCAAUGAUGCAAUACCUUUAUCCCUUGGAGCAACAUGAGCAUGUGUAGUUUAGUCUCUGAUUUGCCCAAACAAUCACAUGGGGCAACUCUGUUCUUGCUGUUUGGUUCCUCGUUAUUCUGAUUACUUUUUUCAAUUGUUAAUGAAACUGUAUUUUGUAGGCUUUUGUCUUUGGUUUUUCUACCCUGAGGAACUCUACCUGUGCUCACCUGUGGCUCUCAAGUGACUCCAUUUUGCCUGUCCCAGGAUGCCCACCAUCCGAAACCAAGGUUUAUGUAAUGUCCUACACAGCCACCCAAUCUUGUCUCCUUACCCCAAAUUUCCCACCCUGAUUCCACUAAUGGAAGACACAGCUCCCUUCUGCUCCUUAAGACUCACAGAUCAAAAUAAACUAUAGUUCUCCUGGGGUCAUGGGACUUCUUUCGAUCUCCCUUUAACAGAAAAGUGAGCCUUCACUGCAAACCACGGUUUCAGGAGGGGUUAGAUGCUCCCAUGCCCGUCUGCAGUGGUCCUGCCAGUGUGCAAUGCCAUCUUAUCUACGACCCGAGCUACGACCUGUCUUCCUCCGUUCCUUUAAUGUCACACUCCUGCCAUCUCCAUGGUUUCAGAGCAGAGGGCGGGCACAAAUUCUUAGCAGGUUGGUACCCAGGUUACAGUGACUCACAGGACUUUUAAGGGUUCUGACUCAUACAGUGAAACUGCCCUCCUGGUAUCAAUUCUCAUGGUCAUCAGCAGACAACCCCCAUUCCUUCAUUGAUUCAAACACCAGUUAUUACCAAACUUGUACCUUUUUAGCAAACUGACUAAUGAAAAACAAGUCCUCCUGCCCCACUUUCCAUUCUUUCUGAGUCAGGUUAGAUAACUCUUCGUGUAUGUAUCAGCAUUUGUGGUAUCCCUUGUGAAAUGCAUGGUGGGACAGCUCAUCUGCUUCCUCAUCGACCUCCCACUGAUACCUUUCCUCCUCCUAUAGCUACAAAUCCGUUCUGUUACUGUGGAAAGACAACGAACUCAGAGUCAUGUAAUCCAAUCCCCGAGACUUCCGCCAUCUCUCCUUCUGCUGGGCAGCUGUCUAGGGAAGGACCAGGCCUCCAGCAGAGCCACCUUCAUGCGUCCUGGAUAACAUGCCACUUCCCAUGUUCUCCUCAAUUAAGACAACAAUACUUGGCCUCCAUUCAACCAAGUUAGCUGCAAUGUUCCUCGAUCUCAAAAAGCUCUCUUUUAAGGGAAAAACAUUUAAACUCAAUAAAAACCACAGAUUCAAACUAAUAGAAUAGACACAAGCUCUCUGGAUAACUUGAAAACCAAUUUACUUGUCCUACUAACUUAACUUUUUAAAGUUCUCAGCUCUGGUCACCAUCUUGGGGGAUGUACCGUCCAAGUUUCACACAGGAAAAGGUCUCCUGAAGAAAACUGCCAAGGGAAUGCCAAAGCAACGGAAGUGAAGCGAAAGGGAAGUAUGGUUGAGGAGGGAUGGGGAAGAGCUAGACCUUGGGGGAUGUUUACACACCUGAAGAAGAUGGUAUUAAUAUCGAAGCAGUGUAUGUAACAGGACAGUAUGUAAGGUCCUGUCCUAAGGACCAGUGACUCCACACAGUCCUACAGUGUUGGCCCUGACCACUGCACUGCAUACCUAUGCUAAGUUCUUCAGGCUCCAGAUUCUUCUGCUGAAACCAGAGAUGCUACUUAUUGAGGCUCUGCCCCACAGUGGCAUACAGGCCUUGAUUCUGUAAGUGUAUCCGCCCGCUGAGGCUAACAAGAGCAACUGCCAAGUUUGGAAAUCCCUUGCUGCCCUUUCUACUGACAUCCUAGCUCUGAGGACCUAAUAACAAACUCUUUGACAUUUCCAAGAGGCAAAAUCCCUCCUGUUCAGAAGAAAAAGCCAAGUUCUCUCAGCUAUGCUCAGGGCUCUUAGCAUCCUGAAACCAUACACCUUGGUAGUCCAUCAAAAGGUCAGGGUCAGGGCCCCACAAGACCUCCCAUGUGUUUGGCCAGGCUUUAGCACAAUGGACCUUAGCUCUUCCUGCUAACAGUCCAACUGCAAACAGGCACACUUGAGACCAGUAGGACUUUGAAUUUCUUUGUAAUUAGACAAAGCUUUAACCAUUACACCGACAUCAAACAGCCUGCCACAGGAAAGCAGACGCACAUGUUGCUGCUGUAACGUCACGGGAAGCAGUUCAGUGACUGUCGGCUUAAUAAGCCUUUGCUCUCCAUCCUGCAUGUGUCCUCUGCUGCUUCCAAACAGGUGCUGCACAGUAAGACAGGAGAUGCCUCCCCUGGAGUGGGAGCAACUGGCUUGUAGGAGACCCAAUUUACCAAAUAACAACAAAAAUUCUUUAGUUCCUUACAGUCACUUCGACUAGUAGUUUUGUCCAGUAGUGAUGAAAAGUUAAGAGAGGAAUACCCACAGAAAUGACCUAUUUAUGUAGCCCAGAAGUUUCAGGUAUAAAACAGAUUCCGGAAAGUCAGUGUGCUCUCUUUAUUUUCGCUACUUCGUGAGGGAAGCAUAGGACAGAACCCCAUUAGCGUACAUUUCACCUUAUUUCUGUAUGUGCAUCUGAUGCUUUGAGUUUUUGUUCCCAACUAUACCAUGAAGAAUAAUCCUGAUGUCCUAGUUCCUGCUCUCACUGCUGGGAAAGCAACCUAAGGAGGCAGAGGAGUGUGGGCUCGCUGCGUGUCACGCCGCAGAAGUCCCUCAAGUCCACCUUCUCCUUUCUCGGCUUUCAUGCACCCAUUUCUCCUGUUUCUAAUCUUGUGUCAACAGCACCAUCAGCCUAACCACGAAAUCUGGAAUUCUAUCUCCUGUUCCUCCUCCUUCUCCAUUUCAGUCCUAUUUAUUAACUUUGCAAACUACGCUACCCUCUUUUAAGUAAAUAUAAGGACUCAAAGCCUCCAUGUUCACAACAGCCAAUGGUAGAAGCCACCCAAGUGUCCACAAUGCAUGAAUCCUAAGUAAACUGUAGUUUACACACACACCAAGCAACACUAUUCAGCCCUCAACAGGGAUGAAUCUAUAUAUCAUCAUAUAUGUGUCUUGAGCAGAUUAUGUUAAAAGAAAAUAAACAAGUCACAAAGGGUCAAAUAUUAUACAAUUCCAAGAGUACUGGCACCUAGAACAAUCCAAUUUUAAAAGGUAGGAAAAAAAUGGGGCCAGACAGACGGCUGUGCAGUUAAAAGCACUGACUAUUCUUCCGGAGAACCUAGGCUCAAUUCCUGCACAAACAUGGCGGCUCAGAGCUGCCCAUAACUCUAGUUACAAUGGAUCCAGCACUAUCUCCCAGCUUCCAUGUGGACAUGGUACACAGACAUGCAUGCAUGCAUACAUACAUACACACCAGCAAAGCACCCAUGCAUAAUAAAUUAACAUUUUAAGAUGAGAAAUGGAAACUUAUAA
rnacentral:sRNA from 1 species